rnacentral:rRNA from 1 species
AGAACGAACGCUGGCGGCAGGCUUAACACAUGCAAGUCGAACGGUUGUAGCAAUACAGCAGUGGCAGACGGGUGAGUAACACGUGGGAACCUUCCUAGGGGUACGGAACAACUCAGGGAAACUUGAGCUAAUACCGUAUACGUCCGUAAGGAGAAAGAUUCAUCGCCCCUAGACGGGCCCGCGUAGGAUUAGGUAGUUGGUGAGGUAACCGGCUCACCAAGCCUACGAUCCUUAGCUGAUCUGAGUGGAUGAUCAGCCACACUGGGACUGAGAC